AGGUUUGGCUUCCUUGAGACAGAGGAUCUUGCUCGCCUCAAAGAGGAGGGCAGUUUGCCCCCUUCCUCCUGACUCCAAGACAAAAGAGAGAAGACUGAAGAGUGGUAAAGCUUGUGGUAGGUCAAAGGAAUAUCUUUAAAAGGGAUCCAGGGCCUCUCAGAGUUCACCUGAGCUUUCCCAAGUCUGGUUUGUUCUCUCUACCCUGCUGCUACUACUGCAAGUGACUUUCACAAGAUGCUUCUGAGCAUAGCAUUGCUCUGCUGUGACCACUGCAGAUGUCAAGAGAAUUUCUGCCUUUUGGAACUUGGACAAUAUUGGCCACCUACCCAGAGAGAGGAGAAGGAUAAUCCAGACAUAAAGCUCCCACACAUCCUUUGGAUCUCUGAUAAAGAGUCAUAUACUUAAAGAGCCAUCCUCACAUUCCUGCCCAGACUGUGAGCUGCAUGAGAGAGGCCAUGUCUCAUUUUGUUCCAUUACAUCUCCAGCACUUAAGAGUGCUGGACACAUAACGAGUGUCUGACACAUAACGAGUGCUGAAUAAAUGUUUGUUAACUGAUAAAAUG
rnacentral:lncRNA from 10 species